UACAGAGGGGGCAAGCGUUGUCCGGAUUUAUUGGGCGUAAAGAGCUCGUAGGUGGUUCGGUAAGUCGGAUGUGAAAUCUCCAGGCUCAACCUGGAGGGGUCAUUCGAUACUGCCGUGACUAGAGUUCGGUAGGGGAGUGUGGAAUUCCUGGUGGAGCGGUGAAAUGCGCAGAUAUCAGGAGGAACACCCGUAGCGAAGGCGGCACUCUGGGCCGAUACUGACACUGAGGAGCGAAAGCGUGGGGAGCGAACAGG
rnacentral:rRNA from 1 species